rnacentral:rRNA from 1 species
AGUGAACGCUCGCGGUAGGCCUAACACAUGCAAGUCGAACGGCAGCACAGUAAGAGCUUGCUCUUACGGGUGGCGAGUGGCGGACGGGUGAGGAAUACAUCGGAAUCUACUUUUUCGUGGGGGAUAACGUAGGGAAACUUACGCUAAUACCGCAUACGACCUACGGGUGAAAGCAGGGGAUCUUCGGACCUUGCGCGAUUGAAUGAGCCGAUGUCGGAUUAGCUAGUUGGCGGGGUAAAGGCCCACCAAGGCGACGAGCCGUAGCUGGUCUGAGAGGAUGAUCAGCCACACUGGAACGGAGACACGGUCCAGACUCCUACGGGAGGCAGCAGUGGGGAAUAUUGGACAAUGGGCGCAAGCCUGAUCCAGCCAUACCGCGUGGGUGAAGAAGGCCUUCGGGUUGUAAAGCCCUUUUGUUGGGAAAGAAAAGCAGCAGGUUAAUACCCCGCUGUUCUGACGGUACCCAAAGAAUAAGCACCGGCUAACUUCGUG